rnacentral:rRNA from 2 species
UUGAGUCUCCUGAAGGAACGUUGAAGACUACGACGUUGAUAGGUCGGGUGUGUAAGCGCAGCGAUGCGUUGAGCUAACCGAUACUAAUGAACCGUGAGGCUUAACCUU